rnacentral:lncRNA from 1 species
AUGCUUUGUAUGUUCCAUUUUGGGGUGCACAGAAGAAAUUCCAAGUAUCUUAUGUUUCUGAAAGUGGAAAUCUCUCUGCUUCCUGCCUUCCAUCUUAUGGUGUCAGUUUGGGUGUGUUACAGAAGCUUAGCAAAGCAUUUAUGUAAGGCCCUCUUAGUGAGGGAUGCUCUCUGGAGUUUCAAAUAUUUUGUAAUUAAUUUUGUUCUUUUAUUCUGUCUUUUUCAGGAAAUAGGGAAUGCUUCCUCUUGUGAUUUGGGGUGCCCAUCAGAAAUAGUGGCACUGUUGACCUUAAAUCUCCCUUUUUUAGAAUCUGGAUACUUUUUUUAUCACAAUGGUCUUGCUAAAGCCAGGAGAAGACGCAGCCUUCAACACAAGCUUCAUCUGGAAAAGGACACCAGGACUUUUUGCACCAGCUUAAUACUGGGCUGAAGUUGGACCAGGUAGCACAAAAAAUGUAUUUACUGCCCAAAGAAGGGAAUAAAGCUGUGUUUAAAUAACUGAGAGUAUUUCCC